ACAGAGGUAGAAACAGAGGUAGAAACAGAGGUAGAAACAGAGGUAGAAACAGAGGUAGAAACAGAGGUAGAUACAGAGGAGGAACAGAGGUAGAAAGAGAGGAGGAACAGAGGAGGAACAGAGGUAGAAAGAGAGGAGGAACAGAGGAGGAACAGAGGUAGAAACAGAGGUAGAAACAGAGGUAGAAACAGAGGAAGAAACAGAGGAAGAAACAGAGGAGGAACAGAGGAGGAACAGAGGUAGAAACAGAGGAGGAACAGAGGUAGAAACAGAGGAGGAACAGAGGUAGAAACAGAGGUAGAAACAGAGGUAGAUACAGAGGAGGAACAGAGGUAGAAAGAGAGGAGGAACAGAGGAGGAACAGAGGUAGAAACAGAGGAGGAACAGAGGUAGAAACAGAGGUAGAAACAGAGGUAGAAACAGAGGUAGAAACAGAGGUAGAAACAGAGGAGGAACAGAGGUAGAAACAGAGGAGGAACAGAGGUAGAAACAGAGGAGGAACAGAGGUAGAAACAGAGGUAGAAACAGAGGAGGAACAGAGGAGGAACAGAGGUAGAAACAGAGGAGGAACAGAGGAGGAACAGAGGUAGAAACAGAGGAGGAACAGAGGUAGAAACAGAGGUAGAAACAGAGGUAGAAACAGAGGUAGAAACAGAGGUAGAAACAGAGGAGGAACAGAGGAGGAACAGAGGUAGAAACAGAGGUAGAAACAGAGGUAGAAACAGAGGAGGAACAGAGGUAGAAACAGAGGUAGAAACAGAGGUAGAAACAGAGGUAGAAACAGAGGAAGAAACAGAGGAGGAACAGAGGAGGAACAGAGGUAGAAACAGAGGAGGAACAGAGGUAGAAACAUAGGAGGAACAGAGGUAGAAACAUAGGAGGAACAGAGGUAGAAACAGAGGAGGAACAGAGGUAGAAACAGAGGUAGAAACAGAGGAGGAACAGAGGUAGAAACAGAGGAGGAACAGAGGUAGAAACAGAGGUAGAAACAGAGGAGGAACAGAGGUAGAAACAGAGGAGAAACAGAGGUAGAAACAGAGGUAGAAACAGAGGUAGAAACAGAGGUAGAAACAGAGGUAGAAACAGAGGUAGAAACAGAGGUAGAAACAGAGGUAGAAACAGAGGUAGAAACAGAGGUAGAAACAGAGGAGG